CUAAUUUUCUAGAGAGGAUGACAGUGCCGCUUUAAGCUGUAGUGGUUCUAGUGAUUAUAGUGUCCCUUUGAGGACAUUUGUGCAAGCAACAUCUCUAGGUGUUUUAUUACCACCAGGAACAGAAGUUACAUUGAAACAUACUGAGCAGAGUUAACAUGGGGUCAUUUGUAUGAUAAUGUAUAUUGUCACUUCAAUAGAUUUAAACAUUUGUUUCUUCAGAACUCAUUAACUCAAUUCACUGUGAACUAGUUGGACAUGCAAUUACCAUUUUGGAGAAGGUGUUUCAGAAUAGACUGAG